rnacentral:rRNA from 1 species
GACGAACGCUGGCGGCGUGCUUAACACAUGCAAGUCGAACGGAAAGGCCCUGCUUUUGUGGGGUGCUCGAGUGGCGAACGGGUGAGUAACACGUGAGUAACCUGCCCUUGACUUUGGGAUAACUUCAGGAAACUGGGGCUAAUACCGGAUAGGAGCUCCUGCUGCAUGGUGGGGGUUGGAAAGUUUCGGCGGUUGGGGAUGGACUCGCGGCUUAUCAGCUUGUUGGUGGGGUAGUGGCUUACCAAGGCUUUGACGGGUAGCCGGCCUGAGAGGGUGACCGGCCACAUGGGGACUGAGAUACGGCCCAGACUCCUACGGGAGGCAGCAGGGGGGAAUAUGGCACAAUGGGCGGAAGCCUGAGGCAGCAACGCCGCGUGCGGGAUGACGGCCUGCGGGUUGUAAACCGCUUUCGCCUGUGACGAAGCGGGAGUGACGGUAAUGGGUAAAGAAGCACCGGCUAACUACGUG